rnacentral:tRNA from 1 species
GGCCGGGUGGCAGAGUGGUUAUGCACCGGACUGCAAAUCCGUGUACGUCGGUUCGAUUCCGGCCUCGGCCUCCA